rnacentral:rRNA from 1 species
UAGGGAAUCUUCGGCAAUGGACGGAAGUCUGACCGAGCAACGCCGCGUGAGUGAAGAAGGUUUUCGGAUCGUAAAACUCUGUUGCCAGGGAAGAAAGGCCAGGAGAGUAACUGAUCCUGGAUUGACGGUACCUGAGAAGAAAGCCCCGGCUAACUACGUGCCAGCAGCCGCGGUAAUACGUAGGGGGCAAGCGUUGUCCGGAAUUAUUGGGCGUAAAGCGCGCGCAGGCGGUUAGGUAAGUCUGGUGUAUAAACCCAAGGCCCAACCUUGGGACGCAUUGGAAACUGGCUGACUGGAGUGUAGGAGAGGAAAGUGGAAUUCCACGUGUAGCGGUGAAAUGCGUAGAUAUGUGGAGGAACACCAGUGGCGAAGGCGACUUUCUGGCCUAUAACUGACGCUGAGGCGCGAAAGCGUGGGGAGCAAACA